ACCGAAUAGAUACCCGGGUAGUCCACGCCCUAAACGAUGCGAACUGGAUGUUGGGUACAUUACGGUACUCAGUGUCGAAAGCUAAACGCGUUAAGUUCGCCGCCUGGGGAGUACGGUCGCAAGACUGAAACUCAAAGGAAUUGACGGGGGCCCGGCACAAGCGGUGGAGUAUGUGGUUUAAUUCGAUGCAACGCGAAGAACCUUACCUGGCCUUGACAUCUGUCGAAUCCUGCAGAGAUGCGGGAGUGCCGCAAGGAACGACAAGACAGGUGCUGCAUGGCUGUCGUCAGCUCGUGUCGUGAGAUGUUGGGUUAAGUCCCGCAACGAGCGCAACCCUUGUCCCUAGUUGCCAGCACGUAAUGGUGGGAACUCUAGGGAGACUGCCGGUGACAAACCCGGAGGAAGGUGGGG
rnacentral:rRNA from 1 species